rnacentral:rRNA from 1 species
AGAGUUUGAUCAUGGCUCAGGAUGAACGCUAGCUACAGGCUUAACACAUGCAAGUCGAGGGGCAGCGGGAUUGAAGCUUGCUUCAAUUUGCCGGCGACCGGCGCACGGGUGAGUAACGCGUAUCCAACCUUCCGUACACUCAGGGAUAGCCUUUCGAAAGAAAGAUUAAUACCUGAUGGUAUGAUGAAAUUGCAUGAUAGCAUCAUUAAAGAUUUAUCGGUGUACGAUGGGGAUGCGUUCCAGUUAGGUAGUAGGCGGGGUAACGGCCACCUAGCCUACGAUGGAUAGGGGUUCUCGAGAGGAAGGUCCCCCGACAUUGGAACUGAGACACGGUCCAAACUCCGUACGGAGCA